rnacentral:lncRNA from 1 species
GCGCGCCAUCCUGUUCCCCAAAGCCGCGAUUUCCCAUCUUCUUCCCCAAACCCCAGCGCCAUUUCUAUCGCUUGCUCCCAAGUCCCAAACUCGAUUUUUUUCCCAAAAUUUAUAAAAUAAUUAUUUCAAAAAAAAUUUUAGGGACAACCAUUGUUUGGAAAAAAAAAUUUUAGCAAAAAAUUUUUUUCAGAGGAAUUUUACAGUGAUCUAAAGUUUCGCAACGAAAGCGACGGAGGAGGAGGAGGACGACGAUGGCGGCGAUGACGCGACCCGCGAGUCCACGACCGCCUUUUCUUUGGACGAAUCAUUCGCGAAUCGCGAAUGAUUCGCGGAUAAUUAUUAUUGAUGAAAAAAAAUGCAUUUUUUUACGCAUUUUUUGGAAAAAUGCGGAUGCGGGCGUUUAAUUCGGUUUUCGAAAAAGUCGCGAAUAAUUUGCGAAUUAAACGCGAAUUAACUAACUAAGAGUAAAAUUGAAGACCAAUAAGCAUUAGUUUUUUAUAUUAU